GCGUCGGUGGUGCAACGAUUAGCAUACGCUCCCACAAAGAGUGAGUUCCGGGUUCGAGUCCGGGCUAACGCA